rnacentral:rRNA from 1 species
CCCAGUUCGGACUGGAGUCUGCAACCCGACUCCACGAAGUUGGAUUCGCUAGCAAUCGCGCAUCAGCCAUGGCGCGGUGAAUACGUUCCCGGGCCUUGUACACACCGCCCGUCAAGCCAUGGGAGCCGGGGGCGCCUGAAGUCCGGGACCGCGAGGACCGGCCUAGGGCGAAACUGGUAACUGGGGCUAAGUCGUAACAAGGUAUC